UAUUUGAAUCAUCACUGCGGUCAACUCGAUGAACAAAGCACGCCAGUGCUUCGAGGUGCACGGUACUUUCAGGUUGAUUAAGUUGGGAUGCUAAUUUAUGAGGUCUGUCUCAAGAUAGCGAUAUCUUGAGAGGAGGCAGAAACUGCCAACAAAAACGUGUAUCGCAGAAGUAUUCGCAUCAAAAAGUUUGGAGCUUCCGGGUGCAGCAAUAGACGCUCACUGUGUGAGAAUAACCCUAAGGGGUGUUGGUGUGGCAACCAACAUGACGGAGGGAAGCCAAGAAUGCACAUUGCCUUGAGACGGAGAAAUCCGUGUAUAACGGAAGCUAGCAGAAAAAGUAGCCGAAUGGCAGUUACUACUCUACAACCAUUUCUGAAUGGUCGGUGAAUUUGCAGGCAAUCAAUCCUGUACAGGCAAGGGCGCAAGCUGGGGCUAGAAGUUUACGGCCGACGGGCCGUAGGCUCAGACUAGUCUUCCUGUUGACUGAAUAUUGGUGAAGAAUAUCUAUGUACGGCGAAGGCCGGGCCGCAGUCAUGAUUCAAG
ncrna:unclassified sequences ROOL RNA